rnacentral:snoRNA from 1 species
AUUGUUGUGAUGAAAACCUUACUCAGCUCACUCAGAGUCUUCGGGCGGUGCUGAUAACAACCCUUUUCCAACAUUCAUCAAACCUCUGAUCUCAAU